CCACAAAUCAAAACUCCUGACGAAUUGUUGGAGCUAUCAUCGGCUUCUUGCGAGUUUAACGUUCAUAAUUAAUGUCCAUUUUUGGGUUUGCUUCUGGGGUAUACUGUAACUUGCAGGCAGGGUGUUUGUCAAAAUGAUCAUGUCAAAAGUUUGUAACAAAAACAAGCUUGCUGUGUGUCGAGGUGUAUUAGAUGUUUUCAGCAUUGUUCGAAUUUGAUUGGAAUUAUAUAGAAUCAAAAUUCAU
rnacentral:lncRNA from 1 species